ensembl:lncRNA
CUACAUUUAAUCAAAAUGGGCACACUUUUAUUGUAGUUAUUAGCGAGCAUGCGCGUCUAGAUAUUGUUAUGACUUUAAUUAUGACAUAAAAGAAGAACUGUUGAAGCGAAAUCCGAUUCGCGUGAAAAAGCUGGAUUUCUAGCAGCUCGCGCUCACAGCCAUUUAAUCACCUGACCUGUAGCGCAAUGUCACGCGACCUCAGAGCGUUUGAAUCAGGUGCGUUUGAAGUUGAUAAGGAGGCAGGCGCUGGCGGUGUCAACAUUACAGAAUUUUAAUUGACUUUAGGAGAUGAGUUGGAGUAUACAGAGGAACCACCAAAUGCUAUCAAGAACUCAUCAGCCCAGACGCUUUGUCCAUGCGUGAAAUCUUGGCCUUUCUGACCACUUUUUGCUUUGAGAAGAUCAGCUUUUUGAACCUUUCAAAUGGUUUCUCACUUCUUACAGUGGACGGGAACAUUUACGGUGGGAGAACAGAUGAAUGUUUUCCAGUCACUGAAGCCCAGCUCCUUGUUCAUUUGGCCAAUUGCUAAUAAAAGAGGAUGUCAAAGACUGAAGUUUUCGUAUCUUAAAGUUAAAAAUGCAGUCGAGCUCCUGAAGACCUGAUGUGGAUGCUUAGAACUUUUCCAACUAGAAUUCCCAACACCUCUUCUUUCUUCUUUAGAGUCUUGUGGAAAAGAUUAAAAAGGUAAACAUUUCCUUGCACUUACAGAGAGAGACUAUUUAUAUAAGUUAUGCAUGGACAUACAGUAUAGUUUGGCUGAUGUUGAUAAGGCUCGCGUGAAACUAAAUGGUAGCAUCUGUUAAGUUCUUGUCGUUUCAGCAGGAAUGGCACACAAUGGGG